UACGUAGGGAGCAAGCGUUGUCCGGAAUCAUUGGGCGUAAAGAGCGCGUAGGUGGCUUUGUAAGUCCGUUGUGAAAGCCCCGGGCUCAACCUGGGAAUGGCAGUGGAAACUAGGGGACUUGAAUCUGGCAGAGGGGGGUGGAAUGCCGCGUGUAGCAGUGAAAUGCGUAGAGAUGCGGCGGAACACCGAUGGCGAAGGCAGCCCCCUGGGCUGAGAUUGACGCUCAGGCACGAAAGCGUGGGGAGCAAACAGG
rnacentral:rRNA from 1 species